rnacentral:rRNA from 1 species
AUUGAACGCUGGCGGCAGGCCUAACACAUGCAAGUCGAGCGAGCGGCGGACGGGUGAGUAAUGUCUGGGAAACUGCCUGCUGGAGGGGGAUAACAACUGGAAAAGGUAGCUAAUACCGCAUAACAUCAGAUGUGACCAGAGGGGAGUGGCUAGGGGGUGGGGUAACGGACCACCUAGACGACGAACCCUAGCUGGUCUGAGAGGAUGACCAGCCACACUGGAACUGAGACACGGUCCAGACGCAUACGGGAGGCAGCAGUGGGGAAUAUUGCACAAUGGGCGCAAGCCUGAUGCAGCCAUGCCGCGUGUGUGAAGAAGGCCUUCGGGUUGUAAAGCACUUUCAGCGGGGAGGCGUUACCCGCAGAAGAAGCACCGGCUAACUCCGUGCCAGCCGCCGCGGUAAUUC